rnacentral:rRNA from 1 species
CAAAGGAAGCGAUUCCGGCGGGGGAUGGGCAUGCGGCGCAUUAGCUAGUCGGCGGGGUAACGGCCCACCGAGGCGACGAUGCGUAGGGGUUCUGAGAGGAAGGUCCCCCACACUGGUACUGAGACACGGACCAGACUCCUACGGGAGGCAGCAGUGAGGAAUAUUGGUCAAUGGGCGGGAGCCUGAACCAGCCAAGUCGCGUGAGGGAAGACGGUCCUACGGAUUGUAAACCUCUUUUGCCGGGGAGCAACGGGGUCCUUGCGAGGGCCCAAUGAGAGUACCCGGAGAAAAAGCAUCGGCUAACUCCGUGCCAGCAGCCGCGGUAAUACGGAGGAUGCGAGCGUUAUCCGGAUUUAUUGGGUUUAAAGGGUGCGUAGGCGGGCUGUUAAGUCAGCGGUCAAAUGUCGGGGCUCAACCCCGGCCUGCCGUUGAAACUGGCGGCCUCGAGUGGGCGAGAAGUAUGCGGAAUGCGUGGUGUAGCGGUGAAAUGCAUAGAUAUCACGCAGAACUCCGAUUGCGAAGGCAGCAUACCGGCGCCCGACUGACGCUGAGGCACGAAAGCGUGGGUAUCGAACAGGAUUAGAUACCCUGGUAGUCCACGCAGUAAACGAUGAAUGCUAGCUGUCCGG